GCGGGAAUAGCUCAGUUGGUAGUAGCACGACCUUGCCAAGGUCGGGGUCGCGAGUUCGAGUCUCGUUUCCCGCUCCA
rnacentral:tRNA from 1 species